CCUACGGGCGGCAGCAGUGAGGAAUAUUGGUCAAUGGGCUUACGCCUGAACCAGCCAAGUCGCGUGAGGGAAGACUGCCCUAUGGGUUGUAAACCUCUUUUGUCAGGGAGCAACGCCGGCUACGUGUAGCCGGACUGAGAGUACCUGAAGAAAAAGCAUCGGCUAACUCCGUGCCAGCAGCCGCGGUAAUACGGAGGAUGCGAGCGUUAUCCGGAUUGAUUGGGUUUAAAGGGUGCGUAGGCGGAAUGCCAAGUCAGCGGUAAAAUCGCGGGGCUCAACCUCGCUCCGCCGUUGAAACUGGCGUUCUUGAGUGGGCGAGAAGCAUGCGGAAUGCGUGGUGUAGCGGUGAAAUGCAUAGAUAUCACGCAGAACUCCGAUUGCGAAGGCAGCAUACCGGCGCCCAACUGACGCUGAAGCACGAAAGCGUGGGUAUCGAACAGGAUUAGAUACCCGGGUAGUC
rnacentral:rRNA from 1 species